rnacentral:rRNA from 1 species
GACGAACGCUGGCGGCGUGCUUAACACAUGCAAGUCGAACGGAAAGGCCCUGCUUUUGUGGGGUGCUCGAGUGGCGAACGGGUGAGUAACACGUGAGUAACCUGCCCUUGUCUUUGGGAUAACUUCAGGAAACUGGGGCUAAUACCGGAUAGGAGCUCCUGCUGCAUGGUGGGGGUUGGAAAGUUUCGGCGGUUGGGGAUGGACUCGCGGCUUAUCAGCUUGUUGGUGGGGUAGUGGCUUACCAAGGCUUUGACGGGUAGCCGGCCUGAGAGGGUGACCGGCCACAUUGGGACUGAGAUACGGACCAGACUCCUACGGGAGGCAGCAGUGGGGAGUAUUGCACAAUGGGCGGAAGCCUGAUGCAGCAGCGCCGCGUGCGGGAUGACGGCCUUCGGGUUGUAAACCGCUUUCGCCUGUGACGAAGCGUGAGUGACGGUAAUGGGUAAAGAAGCACCGGCUAACUACGUG